rnacentral:lncRNA from 1 species
UUUGCAGCAUGCAAAAGGAAAGAACAAGAACAUGGGAAGGAUAGAGGCAACACACCCAAAAAGCCGAGGUUGGUCUUCACAGAUGUCCAGCGUCGAACUCUACAUGCAAUAUUCAAGGAAAAUAAGCGUCCAUCCAAAGAAUUGCAAAUCACUAUUUCCCAGCAGCUAGGGUUGGAGCUGAGCACGGUCAGCAAUUUCUUCAUGAACGCAAGGAGGAGGAGUCUGGACAAGUGGCAGGACGAGGGCAGCUCCAAUUCAGGCAACUCAUCUUCUUCAUCAAGCACUUGUACCAAAGCAUGAAGGAACACCCACAAACUAAACCUCGGUGGAAAAGCUUUAAAUAAAAAAAUUUUUAAAAGACCAGGACCUCAAGAUAGCAGGUUUAUACUUAGAAAUAUUUGAAGAAAAAAAAAGUGUUAUUUAUAGUCCAAAGAAACCAAAGACUUAGCUCACCUGCAUUCUGACUUUGUUCGGAGACACACACUUCAGCGGGGCAACGACUUGGCAAGAGAAAAUAUGAGCAGAAAAGCACCACUGGAUCUCACACCUUCAAUCCAUGAUCAUUCUCGCUGUGCUUGGCUGUUUUGUGGUUUGGAGCAUAGUGAUUUUGAGCCAUUGAGUGGACAUCUUUUAAGAUCAGACUUUCUCAUCCGUUCCACUAUGCCACGAAGGUGUAUGGUGUCUCAGUACUGUGUGUGGGUACGUGAGUGCAUACACAUACACACACACACACACACACACACACACACACACACACACAUGCAUCACCAGUGGUUAGGGACUUAGGCAGGCUGGUCUUCAGGAAGGGUUGUGCUAUAGGAGUGCACCCAACAUAGUGUGGGGUUGUCUGAGUUCAUUGGAUAGGAGUGUGAUUUCGCUCGUCUAGCCUAGCGUUUGAACCUGCCAGGCCCGCAACCUAAAUGCAGAUUCAAACCCAGCAAAGAAAAUUUGAAUGACACCUAAACCAGUGCAUUCUCUUUGUUUGUUAAGGAAUGUUCAGAUAUUUUUUAAGAAAUGAAACAAGAGUCCAUCCAUUAAAAGAAAAAUCACCUAGGUACCAAAGAACACACUUAAUAUUAUAGUGCAGGUAUUUUAUUGCAAUGAUUUUAAUAACCAAAGCUAUUUUUACACAAGAUACUAUGUAAAGUUAUACGUAUAAACUGAUCUAGCUGUAAUACACAUGCCACAUAGAAUCAUGACUAUUAUUUAUGACUCUUGAAGCAUUUGAAAUAUUAGUUUUCAGAACUGGCAAGAAAGAAUGUAGCUUCAGGGAAGCAUUUAAUAUCAGAACAGAGAGGUCAGUGUAGUAUACAUGUACAUCCAGAUGGCACACUCCCUUUCGGGAUCCGUAAAUGAUACUUAGACAUAUAGACGUGAUGCCAUAAUCUGUUCAUAGCUGAGAAAACCUGGGGAUUCUUCCAAAGUAGGACCCCAUUUAUAAAUUAGAAAACUAAGUUUAACAGAGCAAACAAUUAAAUUAGAACAUUUGUUCAAAGUAAUGCUUUUUUAGUAAAAGACCACUGAAUAAAGGAUAUCAUACUUGGGUUAAUUUGACUGAAAGUUGCUUUAUGCAUUUGACACCAAAUACCUUUUUAAAAUAUUUUACAAACACACAAAGUGAGCAGACCAACAUUAUUAUUAAAAUGAACUAUCCAGUAUUUGUAACCAAAUUGAUCUUAUUGCCAAUCUCAGACAUAUUAUGACUUGAACAUCAAUAAAAAUAGCAGAGGCAACUGAGAAGUGGUGGAAUGCCAUAGAAAAAACCAGAGUUCUAGUGGAAGACAAGACUUUGGGUUCUAUUGGUGUAAAGCUAUUUAUUUCACUAAGCAUAGCCUCCAAAGUAUACUACAUUCUUUCUUGCUACUGCAUUAAGCUGGAAAUUUUCUAACAGAGAGUCCACUCUCUAACAGGGACAAAUAAAACACUAGAUCUGAGCUUCCAAAUACAAAAUUUUCAAUUUCUGUUUUUCCAAAUCACUUAACCAGAACUGGAGAAAUCAAGGGGGAAGAAAAAAACUAAUACAGUUGUACUAGCAGUACCCAAGUAAAUCACUUGCUUCCCAGAAAAAUUCUCUCUGAACUCCAUUGAAUUGUAACUCAAACAAAUGGAUGUCUUUUGUACUAUUAGGUAAAGAAUUGGGUACUCUUGGUUAAUUAGCACACCUAAUUAGAGAUAUGAAGUGAAAUGUUAUCACAACAAUAAGUUGUUAAUUGAUAUUCAUUAAAAUGC